rnacentral:miRNA from 1 species
UAUGUGUGUUAGCUGGGCUCAUG